UUAAGUUCAGCGGGUAUCCCUACCUGAUCCGAGGUCAACCUGUAAAAAAUUUGGGGGUUGUUGGCAAGCAACCUACCGGACCCAGACGCGAGGAGUAUUACUACGCGUAGAGCCGACAGGCACCGCCACUGAUUUUAGAGGCCGCGGAACCGCGAACCCCAAUACCAAGCGAAGGCUUGAGUGGUUAUAAUGACGCUCGA
rnacentral:misc_RNA from 1 species